UCGGACGUGGUGCACGGAACACCGCCCCUUUCAUUAGUCCAUGACUAGAAAUUGAUCGGAGGCAGCUCGGGGUUCGAAUCCCCGCGUCCGAA